GAGUUUGAUCAUGGCUCAGGAUGAACGCUGGCGGCGUGCCUAAUACAUGCAAGUCGAACGAGGUGCUUUUGUAGCAAUACGAAAGUAUCCUAGUGGCGAACGGGUGAGUAACGCGUUGGUGACCUACCCCAAAGUGUGGGAUAACAGUCCGAAAGGAUUGCUAAUACCGCAUGUGGUCUUCGGGUUUAGAAACUGAUGACUAAAGGAGCAAUUCGCUUUGGGAGGGACCUGCGUCCCAUCAGCUAGUUGGUGAGGUAAUGGCUCACCAAGGCUACGACGGGUAGGGGACCUGAGAGGGUGACCCCCCACAAUGGAACUGAAACACGGUCCAUACACCUACGGGUGGCAGCAGUAGGGAAUAUUGCACAAUGGGCGAAAGCCUGAUGCAGCAACGCCGCGUGUGCGAUGAAGGCCUUCGGGUCGUAAAGCACUUUUCUGGGAGAUGAGCAAGGACAGUAUCUCAGGAAUAAGUCUCGGCUAACUACGUG
rnacentral:rRNA from 1 species